rnacentral:rRNA from 1 species
UACGUAGGUGGCAAGCGUUGUCCGGAUUUACUGGGCGUAAAGAGCGCGCAGGCGGUCGUUCAAGUCGCGUGUGAAAGCCCCCGGCUCAACUGGGGAGGGUCACGCGAUACUGAUCGACUCGAAGGCAGGAGAGGGAAGCGGAAUUCCCGGUGUAGUGGUGAAAUGCGUAGAUAUCGGGAGGAACACUAGUGGCGAAGGCGGCUUCCUGGCCUGUUCUUGACGCUGAGGCGCGAAAGCUAGGGGAGCAAACGGG